CCAUGUUCUGCUCAUCUUUCUGCGCAGCUGUUUGAUGAUUAAAACGAAAAUGGUGGUCAUAUUUUAUUUCCUACUCUUGCUCAGAGACAGACGUGUCAUAAAUGGUUACAAUUUGGAGACAAAAACUAUUCAAGUGGGUGAAAACGUGACCCUGACAUGUCCUCGCCUGCCAACCAGUCAAUCCCAAAAUUUGUUUUGGGUCAAAUUUUCUUCUGGAAACUGGCCUGAAUCUCUUGGACAAACAAUAACUGUUGACUAUGAAAGGGUUCUCCAAAUUCGUCAUUUUACAUCAAAACAAGAGAUAGGAAACAUUUGUUCUGCAUAUAAAAGAAGCUCAGCAGAAUGACACUGGCCUUUACUAUUGCAUCAAAGUUGAAUCAUUAAAGCUGAUAUUUGUGAACGGAAUUUCUUCUGAAGACUGAAGGCCAAGAACCAGAUCUCGCUACUGUAAUUCAGGAGCCUCUACUUUACCCUGUCUUUCCAGGAGACCUGGUGACUCUAAGCUGUUCGGUUUUCUCUGACUGUGAGAGCAGAAAAUGCAAAACUGAUCACAGGGUGUACUGGUUCAAAACUGGAUCAGAUGAGUCUCAUCCCAGUUUAAUUUACAUUGAUGGAAAAAGUGGAAAUGAAUGUCUGGAUCCUAAAAAGUGUGUCUACAGUUUCUCCAAGACAUUACAGUCUCUGAUGCUGGGACUUACUACUGUGCUGUGGCCACGCAUGAAGAGUUAUUUUUCGGAAAUGGAACAUUUUUGGAUGUUCAAGAACAAUUCAGUUUUUGGAAGUCUAAAAUACUUCUGCUGUUGUGCGUGGCUGUGGGUGGAUGUCUAGUUGUCAUUAUAUGCCUCAUUUACACCUUGAUGAAGAAAGCUUCACAUUCUUGCAAUGAUGCCGUGAGGGGAUGUGGUACUCAGCAGAAAGAACAGAGAGAUGCACACUGUUUGGUUUAUUCUGCCCCAGGGUUCACCAAGACCAAUGUUGGAAAAGCGGAAAGACGGAAAAUAAAAGCAACACAUGAGGAGACAAUCUACACACAUGUCAGGAAUUGAGGGAUUCAGUAAUGCCUCAUUAAAUUAGCCAAGUAAUGCUAGUCAUUGUUUUUGUGAACACUCGGAAAAAUGACGAGUGUAUCCAGUUCAGAGGAUUUUUUUUACACCAUUCAAACUAGCUAUCCUUAUAUAGAAUAUUGUAUAUAUUUUCACAGUUUAUUCAUUGCGCAUUAUGUUUUUAAGCAAUGUUGACUCUUCCAAUGGCUAUUAUGCUAUGAAUUCUUUAAUGUUAAAAUUUAAAAGUAAAGAUUAGAUUACAAUUUAGCAUAACCAAAAAUCUGAACUUAUUUUGUAGCCUGCAAUAAAUCUUCAAAGGUAUGUUUUAAAAUAUGUUUUAUAGUCAUAUAUUUUGCUUUUUAUGUUGUUUGCACUGAUUUUUCUUCUGUUGAUCUGAAGUUCUUAAUCGCUAAUUUUAAAUAUGCUUAUAAAAGAUAGUCUACAUGUAAUUCAGACUGAAAUAUCGCCAUUUUUGAAUGAUUAAGAUUUUGUGACCACUUUCAGUGACCCAAGAGACUGCACUUAUUUUUUAAAAGAUCAACGCAUUGCUAUUGAUAUUUUUGUUUGGUUUUGUGAAAAACUCAUGUAUAUGUCAUGAUUUUUGUACGCUGUCUUUAUGGAAAUACACAUAAAAUAAAACUUUUUGUCAAAUCUU